UAUUCUCGAGCGCUCGUGAUUGUACCCAGGGCAAAGGCAAACACUCAAGCAGGCAACUCCAUGGAGAAUCCAGUUCAGGUCGUUAGAACUAGGCCAGGCUGAACUGGAAAUCUGGAAACUUGACCAACACAAGGCGCCGUCUCCGUUGCAGUCCAGUCAGUUACCUGUCCGUUUAGCUGAAACCCAACGGUGUCAAAACUGAUGACCUGAAAUCAAGUCUCACGCACACAGACCAGCUCAUCAUAAACCAGCUCGGCCUCCGAACCAAUCGACCCCAAGUCAUCCUCGCCAACUUGGCACGAGAGGGAGCUAGCACUAGCAAUGCAGCGGCACGGGCGGACGCUGCUUGCUCUGUGCCUGCUCCCCUGCUUCGCGUCGUGCCAGGGGCGCGCGUCCCCGGAAAUGCUGGGCGGAGGCAUGGCCGUGCGCUUCGAAGCUGGCGCGGCGUAGCGAGGGUCUCCGGCCGGCAGCCGCGGGUUGGUGAGCGGCGGCUGAGGGACUUCCAGUGAAGUGAGCGGCGGCGCAAGGGCCGAGCGGCUGCUGCGGUCCGUGCCGAGCCCUGGCGUUGGGCACUAGCUAGCUGGGAUUCCUCUGGUUGCCAAGAUCUCAGCCGUGUCGUGCAGGCAUGAUGGGCGGCUUGCUGUCAGCGGCCCACAGCAGGCAAGCUCCCCGCAUCUCAUCUGAUAUUAUCUGCAGAUCCUCUGCAGUGUCCGCAUACCAGGUCAGCUCCUCUUGCUACAAUUAGUAGCGUUUCUGCAGUUCCUCGACAAAGGCUGAAGAUCCUCUGCCCUGAAUCGCAUAAAAACACCUCACCUCUGAAGGAACAUCCGCACAUCCAUGAAGCAUGAAUAAUCGUCUCGAGCGUGUGUUGCUCGAGUUCUUGCUUGCUUGGGUGAAAUCGAAAGGUGGUGGAGGAUUACCGCCCCACGCAAUCGCAAUCCCGGCCGCCGUCGUGCGCCCAUGCCCGUCAGAUCGAGGGCCCGCGGCGGCUCGCUCCGCGUGGCCCGGGUGCGGCGAGCCGCGCGCUACCCUCCGGUUCUUGCUGCGGGUGGUGAGAUUGGUGUUGGAUGGUGCUAGGAAUUGAUCCGGGGACUGGUGGCUGAGGCGGAACUUCGCGAUUCCGGCGUGGAGGACGGCGGCGGUGGCGGCUCACGGGCGGGGCGGAGCGAACCACGACCAGGGGGUUAUCUGAAACUAAUCAGGGGAUAAAUGAAAAUAAUCGGAUCGCGAUUAUUAAUCACGAUCCAAUUUAGAGGUUAUUUGUAAAAUGCAGGGGGUAAUAUGCAAAUAUUCGGAUCGUGACUAUUAAUUGCGAUCCAAAUCAGGUGGUAUUUGCAAACUAUUUGGUUCAAUCUUGGGGUCAUCCUUGCAAAUGUUUUGGACCGGCGAGAUGGAAGCCGCGCGACAGCGCCGGCCUGCGCUAAGCUCCGCCGCUCGCUGUGUCACCACGCUCUCCACGCAUCACCAGAGCGCGCUUGCUGGGCCGUCGUCCGAUGAACCCAGUCGCUGCUUGUGCUCCGAUGAGGAAGGAGUCGAGGAGCGAUCACCAGAUGGCAGUCGCGUUGGUUCAGUAUCCACACAUUAACCGCCUCUUCUUGGCUCGCCGGAGAAACUAGAGGGGGAGGAGGAGGAGGAGGAAUAUGAGAACUGGAACGACUUCCCCGGUCUAGGUCACUUAGCCUCUGAUUCACAACUCACUCACGAAUUUCUGCUUGCCUGAAUUUGCCUGAAUCUUGUUCUCCCAGGAGUCCAGCUCGGGAAUUGUGGGAUCAUCUUGGUGCUCUUCGAGACGCCCUCUGGCUUUGCCUUGUUCAGUUACGAUCUCCUCCUACGACGUGCCAUUGAUCAGCAUAAAUGGACUGACUUCGUCAAGUGUGACAGGCCAGAAACAAUGGAAGUUUCUGCCCCAGCUAACGCUACCACCAAUGCCUUUGACAUGGCAGCUAUGGCAUCAAGAGCUGUCCGAGAGCCUUGGAUUGUUGUGCAGACCACACGUGAGGUUGACAUCCUUGAUGAUGUUUACCGCUGGUGCAAGUAUCGCGAUUGCAGGUGGCAAACGGGAAUGCCAUGGCUGCUUACCAGCAGUUCAUGGGCAGGUUGCCUCAGGGUCCUCAGAAAAUUCAGAUGUAAAUAGCAGGUCCAAACAUGUAAAGAAAGGUGUUUUUUGGCUUGUGUACAUAGACAAUGUGAAUGUUCUGUGGUUUAUUCUAUUGUAGUUCCUUCGUUUGCUUU